UAUUGAUCAACUUAAUACCGCAAACUACGACGGACAUCCCACCACCAGUUCUGCUCCAGAUGCUAUGUCGGAACAUUUUAACUGUUGUGCACUGGAUGCUGCAAUAGAGAUCUGCUUUGCGUCUGAUCCUGUAGCAACUCACAUCACCCCUUCUGCCUCAGAAGAUGAGUCAAAUUUCCGUCCUAAUUCUGCAAAGGGAAAUGAGAUGAACCCUACAUCUGCCACCAAUGACUGCUCUGCGUCUGGUCCUGUAAGCACUCCCGUCACCCCUUUUGCCUCAGAAGAUGAGUCAAAUGUCCGUCCUAGUUCUGCAAAGAAAAAUGAGAUGAACCCUACAUCUGCCAUCAUUGAAAAUUCUACGCUAACAAUCACAGAACUAAGUCUGCCUCCUCCACCGGAAUUUUCUCAAAGUAAUAAUAAUUCACCUUUAGUAAAAUCGGCAAAAAGAGAGAAAAAUAGUCGAAAAUCGAAGCAAUCUGUUGACGUUCGUCCAUGCAUAUCGUCGGUGAUAUUCUGAAACCGCGGAACUAACAGUCUUUAAAACCGCGUAUUUACAAAAGUAGCAAAAUCGAGAUUUCGCGGGCUUAGCUUUGUUGUAGUGAUUGGCUGCGUUCUGUGAUGUUGGCCGGGCCGAAAAUCCAAUAGGAAGCCGUGAAAUCGAAUGUCUUUUAAACCGCGAAACGUCAGGUGAUUGUUUAUUGUGCCCAAACCGCGAAUCUACGCAUCAUAACAUGAAAAGUGUGUUUGUUUAACGAAGCGUGCGUGAAAUAGUGUGGUUUUUAUUAUAAAUGCUGCAAUAAUUGUUUACGUCAUGGAGCAAGAAAAUGAAUCUGCGGAUGUAUCUGUUGUCACUUUAAGAGAUCUAGAAAAACGUCGCGCCGAACUUGUACGUAAAAAGCAGCUCAUCUUG